rnacentral:rRNA from 1 species
UACGAAGGGGCUAGCGUUGCUCGGAAUCACUGGGCGUAAAGCGCACGUAGGCGGCUUUUUAAGUCAGGGGUGAAAUCCUGGAGCUCAACUCCAGAACUGCCUUUGAUACUGAGAGCUUGAGUCCGGGAGAGGUGAGUGGAACUGCGAGUGUAGAGGUGAAAUUCGUAGAUAUUCGCAAGAACACCAGUGGCGAAGGCGGCUCACUGGCCCGGUACUGACGCUGAGGUGCGAAAGCGUGGGGAGCAAACAGGG